UACGUAGGGGGCAAGCGUUGUCCGGAAUCAUUGGGCGUAAAGAGCGUGUAGGCGGUCCGGUAAGUCGGCUGUGAAAGUCCAGGGCUCAACCCUGGGAUGCCGGUCGAUACUGCCGGACUAGAGUUCGGAAGAGGCGAGUGGAAUUCCCGGUGUAGCGGUGAAAUGCGCAGAUAUCGGGAGGAACACCGGUGGCGAAGGCGACCAUCUGGACGGAUACUGACGCUGAGACGCGAAAGCGUGGGUAGCAAACAGG
rnacentral:rRNA from 1 species